AUUGAACGCUAGCGGGAUGCUUUACACAUGCAAGUCGAACGAGUGGCGGCCGGGUGAGUAAUAUAUCGGAACGUGCCCAGUAGCGGGGGAUAACUACUCGAAAGAGUGGCUAAUACCGCCUACUCUUGGAGCUGCCGAUAUCGGAUUAGCUAGUUGGUGGGGUAAAGGCUCACAAAGGCCACGAUCCGUAGCUGGUUUGCGAGGACGACCAGCAACAGGGGGACUGAGACAAGGCACAGACGCCUACGUGAGGCAGCAGUGGGGAAUGUUGGACAAUGGGGGAAACACUGAUCCAGCCAUCCCGCGUGUAUGAGAAGGCCUUCGGGUUGUAAAGUACUUUUGGCAGAGAAGCGGUAUCUGCAGAAUAAGCACCGGCUAACUCCGUGCCAGCAGCCGCGGUAAUUC
rnacentral:rRNA from 1 species